rnacentral:lncRNA from 1 species
AUAUGAAGUAUUGCUACAUAUAUUAAGUGCAAGGUACAGGUGAAAGGAUAAGAUUUAUUUCAGUUGCAAUUGAUCACUUAGGUUCCAAUGCUUUACUCUCGGGUUUCUAAAAGUUGAUACACUUGGAGAGUUAAUAAUAAGCAUAUUCAGUUGAGAGUGGUAAGAAUUACCUUGCUAGAACCUGUCAUGUGUAAAUGACAUCCCCUAUACUGUUACUUUGGUUGGUACUUCUUGAAAAUAUUGCUUUUUAGGAAUACUAAAUUAAGUUAGUACUCUGGUUUGCAAGUACCCUACAAAGGCAAAUAUUAGGAACAUGCUAAUUUAAACUUUCUGAUGACAUUUUUUUUGCUUUUUGAGUUUUUUGGUCAGGAAAAGGAAGAAAUAAUGACAAUCAGAACUGUUCCAUCAGGAAUAAGAAACCCAUUUUAAUACCAAAAACCAAAUCAAAUUAACCAUAUCAGCCCAAACUUCAAAUAGCCUAGAUUCAAAUUAAAAUUUUUUCAGUUGUAUAUACUAAUAACAUUAUGGAAAGCCAGGGAGAAGCUUAUUUUUAUUACUUUGCACUGAAAGUUUUAGAAUAUUUAAAAGCACCAAUUUUCAUUUUGUGAUUUACAUGAUAAAACUCUUUGGGAAGAAAUAUCAGGGGGUGGGUGGGUUCAGUAAUAUUUAUUUCCAGUGCUCAUCAACUAACAAAUCAUCCUUGUUGGAACAAAUAUGGUAUGUGUACUUCUGUGAGAAUAUGUCAAGAAAUAAACUGACACUCAUAAAUAGAAAGCAAAAACAAAACAAAAUCAGCAGUUAAGCAAAAAUAAUAUGGUAAAAAUCCCAUGCAAAUAUAUCACAGAGCAUUAAAAGUAGUGAUUUAAAAAAACCUAAUGAACAAAAAUAUAUACUAAAAGUCAAGCCAAUAGACCCCACUAACAGGUAAUAUAUAGACAUAUUGUGGUUAUUAUUUAAAGAUAGCAAGACUAUAGUACUGGUUUAUGCUUAUAUCUAGCAGAAACAAAGUAUGUGAUAAGAGUUAUUUGAGCCAUAAAAAUAAUCAGCUAAUUUUUAAAAGAAAGUUGAUGGAAAAUUCUAACAACCAACAAAUUAUAUAUACAAAUAAAACAUCUUUAAACAAUUACUUUUAAUUUCACAUUAAAACACCCAAAAUUUUGCUAUAAUAUAGGGAGUAAAAUUACUAGAAUAAAAAAAA